rnacentral:rRNA from 1 species
GGGUGAGUAACACGUGAGCAACCUGCCCUAGGCUUUGGGAUAACCCUCGGAAACGGGGGCUAAUACCGAAUAGGACCUUGCCUUGCAUGAGGCUUGGUGGAAAGUUUUUCGGCCUGGGAUGGGCUCGCGGCCUAUCAGCUUGUUGGUGGGGUGAUGGCCUACCAAGGCGACGACGGGUAGCCGGCCUGAGAGGGCGACCGGCCACACUGGGACUGAGACACGGCCCAGACUCCUACGGGAGGCAGCAGUGGGGAAUAUUGCACAAUGGGCGGAAGCCUGAUGCAGCGACGCCGCGUGAGGGAUGACGGCCUUCGGGUUGUAAACCUCUUUCAGCAGGGACGAAGCGCAAGUGACGGUACCUGCAGAAGAAGCACCGGCCAACUACGUGCCAGCAGCCGCGGUAAGACGUAGGGUGCGAGCGUUGUCCGGAUUUAUUGGGCGUAAAGAGCUCGUAGGCGGCUUGUCGCGUCGACUGUGAAA